rnacentral:lncRNA from 1 species
GUGGUUGUAUUGUUAUAUUUUUUUUUUCUUGGAUUAAUUUAUUUUUCGUUUUAUGAUUUAUCACUUAGCUACUUUACCACGUUCGUACUACACAAUGUAAGUACCGUUACUCUACAAUAGAAUGUGUAUUUCGAAUUAUCUUCAAAAAUAACAAUAAUAUGAUUUAUUUUACGCCAAGCAAAUUGAAACAGAAUGCCCCUUAGAAUGAUGUUUUAG